rnacentral:misc_RNA from 1 species
GUGAAAAGUUAAGAAAAGAUUUGAUUUUGUGAACUGGGUGGUUGUUAGUUAUGGUAGAGGAUGAGAAUCUGGAAUCCUCUUGUGGUGAGGAGGCUUUGGAGGAAGAUGAACCCAGACAAGGAGGGUUCUGUGACUUUUUUUCUACUCCAAUUUAUUGGUUCAAAAUGCUUGCCAGUGAGACACAUUCGAGUUUUGUGUUUGGUGUGUUGACUGUCUAUGGAAUAAGCCAGGGACUGGGAGGAGCUUUUAGUCGCGUUGGCACUGAGUAUUACAUGAAAGAUGUUCANNNNNACAAAUUUAUCAAGGAAUUAUUUCAAUUCCUUGGCUUGUCAAGCCUCUAUGGCGCCUGCUG